rnacentral:rRNA from 1 species
UACGAAGGGGGCUAGCGUUGCUCGGAAUUACUGGGCGUAAAGGGAGCGUAGGCGGACAUUUAAGUCAGGGGUGAAAUCCCGGGGCUCAACCUCGGAAUUGCCUUUGAUACUGGGUGUCUUGAGUAUGAGAGAGGUAUGUGGAACUCCGAGUGUAGAGGUGAAAUUCGUAGAUAUUCGGAAGAACAACAGUGGCGAAGGCGAAAUACUGGCUCAUUACUGACGCUGAGGCUCGAAAGCGUGGGGAGCCAACAGG